UACGGAGGGUGCUAGCGUUGUUCGGAAUCACUGGGCGUAAAGCGCGUGUAGGCGGCCCACUAAGUCUGAUGUGAAAGCCCGGGGCUCACCCCCGGAAGUGCAUUGGAAACUGGUGGACUCGAGUCCCGGAGAGGAGAGUGGAAUUCCUGGUGUAGCGGUGAAAUGCGCAGAUAUCGGGAGGAACACCAAUGGCGAAGGCAGCUCGCUGGGACGGUACUGACGCUGAGACGCGAAAGCGUGGGGAGCAAACAGG
rnacentral:rRNA from 1 species